GCCACGGGGGUCUAGCGGUUAGAACGCUGGCCUUGUAAUCCUGGGAUCUCGGGUUCGAUUCCCGGCGGUGCCC
rfam:Zootermopsis nevadensis contig4031, whole genome shotgun sequence.